AAAACUAGCCAGUCUUUUGGGUAUGAAACUCAUUUGGGCGAGAGUAGUACUAGGAUGGGUAACCUCCUGGGAAGUCCUCGUGAAAGGGUUUC
rnacentral:rRNA from 1 species